CAAGAUUAAAAGGGCCCAGCUGUGUGGAGUUAUUGUUGGUGUCAGUAGGAAGUGCUGAUAGCUGUUGCAGCUGAACAAAAGCUGGAUGAGAGAGCAGAGGGGCGCUCCAGACUCACUGGCCCCAGACAAGAUUUCCCCCCACAAUCCUUGCUCUGCACUCCCAUUGUUUCAGACCACUGGCGCUCCCCAUCCCCAACAUGACCCGAGAAAUAGGACGGAGGAAGAACAGGAUGUCACUCUCCUCAGGCACAGCUCUCUCUGCAUGCUGACAUCUCAUUCUGGUGGACUCUACAGCCAGCCAGAGACAGAGGGGGACACUGAAAUAGCAACAUUCCUUUGGAAUUUGAGCAAGCUAGUGACAAUGGCAGUUUGCAGGUGUGGGGCGGUAAUCUCUUCAGAGUGGUUUAACUUGAUAAAUGAAAAUGAAUGCCGAUCUUGGGCAGCCAGUUCUCAGGGUUUGCGCUGCGCAGGUGAAUGGGGGAGUGCAAGCCCGUUGUUUGCGGUCUCCAUGGACACCGCCCGCGCGGCGCCAGGUUGACAGCCGUCAGGGACUUCAUGAAUGGGUGACGUCAUGGCACUGGCGCCUGCCAGUCUGCUUCGGCUUGUUUGGACAAUCUGGGGAAGAUUCAGUUCAGAGCAGAGCAAUGCUAUUUCAAUGCCGCACUCACAGUGGGAACACGUGAAAGAAUCUGUAAAAUGAUUCAUUGGAAGACUAAUUUAAGAGGAACUGGAGGGUUUAGGCUUAAUGUGUGAAAUAUGCUAUUUGUAAAU
ensembl:lncRNA